rnacentral:rRNA from 1 species
UACGGAGGGUGCAAGCGUUGUCCGGAAUUACUGGGCGUAAAGCGCGUGUAGGCGGCCCUGCAUGUCGGGUGUGAAAUCCCACGGCUCAACCGUGGAAGUGCACUCGAAACUGCAGGGCUAGAGUCCUGGAGAGGAAGGUGGAAUGCUUGGUGUAGAGGUGAAAUUCGUAGAUAUCAAGCGGAACACCGGUGGCGAAGGCGGCCUUCUGGACAGUGACUGACGCUGAGACGCGAAAGCGUGGGGAGCAAACAGG